rnacentral:rRNA from 1 species
GAAUUCGAUUAACGCGAAGAACCUUACCAGGCCUUGACAUGCAUCUCUAAGUUGGUGAAAGCCAGCGAGUCUCGAAAGAGACAAUUUGCACAGGUGCUGCAUGGCUGUCGUCAGCUCGUGCCGUGAGGUGUUGGGUUAAGUCCCGCAACGAGCGCAACCCUUACUCUUAGUUGCCACCCGCAAGGGGGAACUCUAAGAGGACUGCUCCGGAUAACGGAGAGGAAGGUGGGGAUGAGGUCAAGUCAGCAUGGCCUUUAUGUCCAGGGCAACACACGUGUUACAAUGUGCGCCACAAAGCGUUGCAAACCCGCGAGGGGGAGCUAAUCGCAAAAAGGCGCGCUCAGUUCGGAUUGCAGUCUGCAACUCGACUGCAUGAAGCCGGAAUCGCUAGUAAUGGCGCAUCAGAACGGCGCCGUGAAUACGUUCCCGGGCCUUGUCACACCGAAUCACUA